AAACAAGAACAAGAUGCAUAUGCAACCACGAAUAAUACAACAAACAACACACCUAACAAAAAAUGACGCUAAUUUCUUCGCUCUGUUCCUUCCCUUCAAUUCACUCUUCUUCUUCUACCUUUCCAAAUUCUGCAUUAACAUUCUCAAAUUACAACACCAGAACUCCAAUCCAAUCCUCACCUUCUUCCACAAACAUUUGCACCCAAAAAAUCGACACAUCUUUGAUCACCAUCGCCGAAUCUUUCUACGAUGAUGAACUCUGGGCAGCUUCUUCCCUCCGUGUUCGUUCCUUCAAUCAAUUCCGUCCCGGAACUUACGGAGUCCAAGAUCAUGUGAAGUACUUGGCUGAACGUGAGUUUGAAGCAUUGAAAGAGCGCAUUUCAGGGAAGAGGGUGGGUUUUAGAAGAGUCUCUUGCAUAAAUGCUUCUCUUCCUGUGUCUCAUAUAUCUAACAUCUAUGAUGAUUUAUGUUCUUCAUGUAAGUUUUCUACUUAUGGAGAAGACAGGAUAGUAGUUGGUUCUCUCGAUCUUAAUCAGUGCUUGAGUCUUCCGGAUGAAAUUGUAGGAAUGAAGCCAGAGGUUAGCGGAGCUGAUACGACAAGGGCUUACCUGAGUAAUGUGUGUGUUGCUAGAGAGUUGCAUAGGAAUGGAUUGGCCUAUGAACUUCUUGAAAAGUCGAAGUUAGUUGCUCGUAAUUGGGGCAUAACAGAUUUAUACGUCCAUGUUGCCGACGACAAUGAACCAGCAAAGAAAUUGUACAUGAAGAGUGGGUUUGUUUACGAGAGUGAUGAACCUGCAUGGCAGGCCAGGUUUCUUGAUCGACCGCGAAGACUUCUGCUAUGGAUGGGUCUUUCAAUCUCCUAACUUGACGGUGUUGUCGGGUAUCCUGCGUUAAUAUGGUCUAUUCUUUUUAAGUUAUUUUCAGAACAUUCCCUCAUUGCCUCAUUACUUUCCUUCCUUUCAUUUCUAAGCCGUAAAUAAAUCGGGCGGCUGACAAUCAAAGAUCCAUUGUAAGAAAAGAAUCAUGAAACAUAUGAUUUUCAUUUCUUAAUUCAAACUCUUAUGAAUACUAAUAUCCUCAAUUGAGCAACCAUUCACCAAAACCUGAAAGACUGCCAGAAAAGACACAUGCACAUAUGCAACCCCUCCACUUAUCAUCAAAACCAAAUCUCCUCAAGUGAUGAAAGGACUUUGGGAGGAAUUGGCUGAAUUUCGUUCAAUUCAUAAUUGCGUUCAUGUUGGAGUUAACCCUUUGGUUGAUCAUAUCAAUCGUGAAUAUGUAUUGACUUUAUUGCUAGGUACAAAUGAAAGUUCAACCAGUGUGGUGCUAUAGGGAAUAAUAAGGAUAAAUGCUUCAAACUCCAUAGUUAUCCACCAGAAUACAAGAAAGGAAAGACGUUUACAUAUUAGUGUGUUACUGCUGUUACUAUGUAUAUUGAUUCAGUUGACACUCCAUUAAACACAAAGCAAUAUCAA